rnacentral:lncRNA from 1 species
UGAAUUUCCAAAAGUAUUACAUAUAAUAAAAGAGGUGCUUCUUGACUGGGAAGGAGUGGAAGAGGUCCUAGGUGCAGAAGGGUAUGGAAGAUAAGGUCAAAGGAUGUGCUGGUGGGAAUGGGAGACAACGGAGAAGGUGAGACAAGCUGGAGGAAAUGUCAGGAGCUGCUGAGAGAAGCUCAGCCUGACCAGAGAUGAGAAUUGCCAUCUUGAAUCGUCAGGAGGUGAAGGAAAGCCCAGGUGAAUGCCACCCAAUCAAAAAGAAAAAACAAAUGCAGAUGGUAAGGUAGAGAAGGCUCUGAAGCCCAGGUAAUGAGAGCCACGUUACCCUGGACAGAAGCAUCCAACACCACACAUCUCCAAGGAUGUUGGAGAUCCAGCAUCUGGAUCCAGCUAACUUCUGCAUCCUCCUUCUGUACUCACAAGAGUUAACAUGGACGUCCAUGCAUCUGCUGGACAACAUCCCCUAGAACGAGUGUCUUUAUAUGUUUUCACACACAUAAUGAUGUUAUA